rnacentral:rRNA from 1 species
ACGUAGUAAUCAACGACGAUGGCGGCGUAUCCUAACACAUGCAAGUCGAACGCGACUGAGGCUUCGGCCUCAGUUGAGUGGCGAACGGGUGAGUAAGGAACGUGGGUGACCUACCUUCGAGUGGGGGGAUUAACGACCGAAAGGGACGCCAGAUAUAGCAUAAACAUCCUUCCUUUGAACAGGAGGAGAUCAUUAAGCCGGGGAUCGCAAGACCUGGCGCUUGAUGAGGGGCCCGCGUCCGAUUAGCUAAUAUUUGGCAGUGGUAAUGGCCUACCAUCCCGCAACGAUCGGUAGCCGGCCUGAGAGGGCGGACGGCCACACUGGGACUGAGACACGGCCCAGACAUCCCUACGGGAGGCAGCAGUGGAUAAUUGAUCGCAAUCAGUUCAAGCCUGACGACGCAACGCCGCAUGGCGAGGAUGAAGGUUUUCGGAUUGUAAACUCCUGUUGCCCUAUGACGAAUGGCUCCAACCUAAUACGUUGGAGUGUGACCCAACCGGGUGAGGAAAUGCCCGGCUAACUCAGUAUGCCAGAAAGCCGCGGUAAUACAGAGGGGGCAAGCGUUGUUAUUACGAAUUACUGGGCGUAAAGGGCGCGUAGAUAUGGCCUGCUAAGUCGAACGUGAAAUCCAUGGGCUCAACCCAGGAACUGCGUCCGAUACUGGUUGGCUUGAAUUCGGGAGAGGGAUGAAUUCCAGGUGUAGCGGUGAAAUGCGUAGAUAUCUGGAGGAACACCGGUGGCGAAGGCGGCAUCCUGGACCGACAUUGACGCUGAGGCGCGAAAGCCAGGGGAGCAACCGGAAUCAUACCCCGGUAGUCCUGGCCCUAAACGAUGAAUGCUUGGUGUGGCGGGUAUCGAAUCUGCCGUGCCACUAACGCAUUAAGCAUUCCGCCUGGGGAGUACGGUCGCAAGGCCGAAACUCAAAGGAAUUGGCGGGGGCCCGCACAAGCGGUGGAGCAUGUGGUUUAAUUCGACGCAACGCGAAGAACCUUACCCAGGCUUGAACUGCCAGGUGACAUCCUACGAAAGUAGGCUUCCGCAAGGACACCUGUAGAGGUGCUAUGGCUGUCGUCAGCUCGUGUCGUGAGAUGUUGGGUUAAGUCCAGAACGAGCGCAACCCUUGUCUUCUGUUGCCAUCGGGUCAUGAGGCACUCUGAAGAGAAUCCGGUGACAUACCGGAGGAAGGUGGGGAUGACGUCAAGUCAGCAUCAAACCUUUAUGUCUGGGGCCACACACGUGCUACAAUGGCCGGUACAAACCGUCGCGAGCCCGCAAGGUAAGCCCGGAGAAAGCCGGUCUCAGUUCGGAUUAUGGCUGCAACUCGCCUGCAUACAGUUGGAAUCGCUAGUAAUCAGCGGAUCAGAUGAGCCGCGGUGAAUACGUUCCCGGGCCUUGUACACACCGCCCAUAUCCACAUCACGAAACCGCUGGCUGUA